rnacentral:rRNA from 1 species
GGCCUUUUGAUUUUAAUUUAAGGUCUAACCUGCCCUAUGAGGAUUUAAAUGGCCGCGGUAUUUUGACCGUGCAAAGGUAGCAUAAUAAUUAGUUUUUUAAUUGAAAGCUGGUAUGAAUGGUUGAAUGAGAAAAUGACUGUCUCUUUCUAAAUUUUUUAAAAUUUUAUUUUUAAGUAAAAAAGCUUAAAUUUUAUUAAAAGACGAGAAGACCCUAUAGAGUUUUAUAUAACUAAGUUUUUAAUUUUUUUAUAGUAUUUAAAAAAUAAAAAUUUAUUUUUAUUUGGUUGGGGCGAUUGAAAAAUUUAAUAAACUUUUUUUUAUUUAAACACUAAUUUGUGAAUAAUUGAUCCAUUAUUUAUGAUUACAAGAGAAAAUUACCUUAGGGAUAACAGCGUAAUCUUUUUUGAGAGUUCUAAUCGAAAAAAGGGUUUGCGACCUCGAUGUUGGAUUAAAAUUAAGUUCUGGUGCAGAAGCUAGGAGUUUAGGUCUGUUCGACCUUUAAAAUUU